UACGUAGGGUGCAAGCGUUAAUCGGAAUUACUGGGCGUAAAGCGUGCGCAGGCGGUUUUGUAAGACAGGCGUGAAAUCCCCGGGCUUAACCUGGGAAUGGCGCUUGUGACUGCAAAGCUGGAGUGCGGCAGAGGGGGAUGGAAUUCCGCGUGUAGCAGUGAAAUGCGUAGUUAUGCGGAGGAACACCGAUGGCGAAGGCAAUCCCCUGGGCCUGCACUGACGCUCAUGCACGAAAGCGUGGGGAGCAAACAGG
rnacentral:rRNA from 1 species